rnacentral:rRNA from 1 species
UAGGGGAGCCGGAGGGAAACCGAGUCUUAACCGGGCGUUAAGUUGCAGGGUAUAGACCCGAAACCCGGUGAUCUAGCCAUGGGCAGGUUGAAGGUUGGGUAACACUAACUGGAGGACCGAACCGACUAAUGUUGAAAAAUUAGCGGAUGACCUGUGGCUGGGGGUGAAAGGCCAAUCAAACCGGGAGAUAGCUGGUUCUCCCCGAAAGCUAUUUAGGUAGCGCCUCGUGAAUUCAUCUCCGGGGGUAGAGCACUGUUUCGGCUAGGGGGCCAUCCCGGCUUACCAACCCGAUGCAAACUGCGAAUACCGGAGAAUGUUAUCACGGGAGACACACGGCGGGUGCUAACGUCCGUCGUGAAGAGGGAAACAACCCAGACCGCCAGCUAAGGUCCCAAAGUCAUGGUUAAGUGGGAAACGAUGUGGGAAGGCCCAGACAGCCAGGAUGUUGGCUUAGAAGCAGCCAUCAUUUAAAGAAAGCGUAAUAGCUCACUGGUCGAGUCGGCCUGCGCGGAAGAUGUAACGGGGCUAAACCAUGCACCGAAGCUGCGGCAGCGACACUGUGUGUUGUUGGGUAGGGGAGCGUUCUGUAAGCCUGUGAAGGUGGCCUGUGAGGG